rnacentral:rRNA from 1 species
UACGAAGGGUGCAAGCGUUAAUCGGAAUUACUGGGCGUAAAGCGUGCGUAGACGGCUUGUUAAGUCUGCUGUGAAAGCCCUGGGCUCAACCUGGGAACUGCAGUGGAUACUGGCAAGCUAGAGUGCGGUAGAGGAUGGUGGAAUUCCCGGUGUAGCGGUGGAAUGCGUAGAGAUCGGGAGGAACAUCAGUGGCGAAGGCGGCCAUCUGGACCAGCACUGACGUUGAGGCACGAAAGCGUGGGGAGCAAACAGG